AUAAGGACCGGCUAACUCCGUGCCAGCAGCCGCGGUAAUACGGAGGGUCCGAGCGUUAUCCGGAUUUAUUGGGUUUAAAGGGUCCGCAGGCGGAAGAAUAAGUCAGUGGUGAAAUCCUGUCGCUUAACNNUAGAACUGCCAUUGAUACUGUUUUUCUUGAGUAUAGAUGAAGUGGGCGGAAUGUGUCAUGUAGCGGUGAAAUGCAUAGAUAUGACACAGAACACCGAUUGCGAAGGCAGCUCACUAAACUAUAACUGACGCUCAUGGACGAAAGCGUGGGGAGCGAACAGGAUUAGAUACCCUGGUAGUCCACGCUGUAAACGAUGAUUACUCGGUGUUAACGAUAUACG
rnacentral:rRNA from 1 species